rnacentral:rRNA from 1 species
AUUGAACGCUGGCGGCAGGCCUAACACAUGCAAGUCGAACGAGUGGCGGACGGGUGAGUAAUGUCUGGGAAACUGCCCGAUGGCGGGGGAUAACUACUGGAAACGGUAGCUAAUACCGCAUACCAUCAGAUGUGCCCAGAUGGGAUUAGCUUGUUGGUGGGGUAACGGCUCACCAAGGCGACGAUCCCUAGCUGGUCUGAGAGGAUAACCAGCAAAACUGGAACUGAGACACGGCCCAGACUCCUACGGGAGGCAGCAGUGGGGAAUAUUGGAAAAUGGGGGCAAUCCUGAUGCAGCCAUGCCGCGUGUAUGAAGAAGGCCUUCGGGUUGUAAAGUACUUUCAGCGGGGAGGCGUUACCCGCAGAAGAAGCACCGGCUAACGCCGUGCCAGCAGCCGCGGUAAUUC